rnacentral:sRNA from 1 species
CUUGGUCAUUUAGAGGAAGUAAAAGUCGUAACAAGGUCUCCGUUGGUGAACCAGCGGAGGGAUCAUUAAAGAGUUGCAAAACUCCCAACCAUUGCUAAACAACCACUGUUUCUUCGGCGGGUGGCCGCAUGGCCGCGCGCACCCCUCUCGGGGGGGACGCACCCCGCCGGAGCACACCAAACUCUUGUCAUUAUUGAUGCUCUGAGUAAAAAACAAAAUUAUUACAACUUUCAACAAUGGAUCUCUUGGCUCUGGCAUCGAUGAAGAACGCAGCGAAAUGCGAUACGUAAUGUGAAUUGCAGAAUCCAGUGAAUCAUCGAAUCUUUGAACGCACAUUGCGCCCGCCAGUAUUCUGGCGGGCAUGCCUGUCCGAGCGUCAUUUCAACCAUCAAGCCUAGUGCUUGUGUUGGGGCCCCGCGGCUGCCGCGGGCCCUGAAAACCAGUGGCGGGCUCGAAGUCGAACCGAGUGCAGUAAAUUUCUUCGCUUGGGAAGGUGACGAGUUCCGGCCGUAAAAAGCCCAACUUUAUCAAGGUUGACCUCGGAUCAGGUAGGACUACCCGCUGAACUUAAGCAUAUCAAUAAGCGGAGGAAAAGAAACCAACAGGGAUUGCCCCAGUAACGGCGAGUGAAGCGGCAACAGCUCAAAUUUGAAAUCUGGCUUCGGCCCGAGUUGUAAUUUGUAGAGGAAGCUUCUGGUGAGGCACCGUCCGAGUCCCCUGGAACGGGGCGCCACAGAGGGUGAGAGCCCCGUAUGGAUGGACGCCGAUCCUGUGUGAAGCUCCUUCGACGAGUCGAGUUGUUUGGGAAU